rnacentral:rRNA from 1 species
AUUGAACGCUGGCGGCAUGCUUUACACAUGCAAGUCGAACGGUAACAGGGUGCUUGCACCGCUGACGAGUGGCGAACGGGUGAGUAAUGCGUCGGAACGUGCCGAGUAGUGGGGGAUAACGCAGCGAAAGUUGUGCUAAUACCGCAUACGUACUGAGGUAGAAAGUGGGGGACCUUCGGGCCUCACGCUAUUCGAGCGGCCGACGUCUGAUUAGCUAGUAGGUGAGGUAAAGGCUCACCUAGGCGACGAUCAGUAGCAGGUCUGAGAGGAUGAUCCGCCACACUGGGACUGAGACACGGCCCAGACUCCUACGGGAGGCAGCAGUGGGGAAUUUUGGACAAUGGGCGAAAGCCUGAUCCAGCCAUGCCGCGUGUCUGAAGAAGGCCUUCGGGUUGUAAAGGACUUUCGUCAGGGAGGAAAUCCCUAGUGCUAAUAACACUGGGGGAUGACAGUACCUGAAGAAUAAGCACCGGCUAACUACGUGCCAGCAGCCGCGGUAA